rnacentral:lncRNA from 1 species
CAGUUAUUGGAGAAUUUCAAGUUUUAGGACUCUAUGUAAUAUUGCUUUCUAAAAGAAUGGCUCUAUUUUCUUAUUUAUUCAUUGAGUAUAGUUUCUUAUUUAUUCAUCUAGUAUACAAUAUUGUGAUAUCAUACAGUAUUUGUCUUUGACUUAUUUUACUAAGCAUAAUAUUCUCUAGGUUCAUCCACAUUGCUACACGUGGCAGUAUUCUAUUCCUUUUUGUGGCUGAAUAAUAUUCCAUUGUGUAUAUACACUACAUCUUAAUCCAGUUUCUGUUGAAAGGUACUGAGGUUGCUUCCUUAUCUUGGUUAUUAUAAAUAGUGCUAUUCUGAACAUCAGGAUACAAGUAUCUUUCUGAAUUAGGUAUUUUCAUUUUUUUCCCUAUAAGUACCCAGAAGUGGUAUUGUUGGAUCAUAGGAUAGUUCUAUUUUUAAUUUUUAAAAUAAACUUCAUGUGGUUUCCCUUAGUGGCAGUACCAAUUUGCAUUUCCCACCAACAGCAUAUGAGGGUUCCUUUUCCCCACCUCCUCACCAACAUUUGUUUUUUAUAGACUUUUACUACCUGUGGCUCUUACACUUAGUUGUGUAAGGGCAGGAUGCCUUGGCUUCAGGUCUCCACAACUAGACUCGCUCUUUCCUAGUGCUCACCACCUUCACUCUUUCUUCUUUUUUUUCCCUUUUGUUUAGGGCUACACCCAUGGCAUAUGGAAGUACCCAGGCUAUGGGUUGAAUUGGAGGUAUAGCUGCUGGUCUACACCACAGCCAUGGCAACGUGAGAUCCAAGUUGUAUCUGUAACCCCACACCACAGCUCACAGCAAUGCCAGAUCCCCAAUCCACUGCGUGAGGCCAGGGUUUGAACUCGCAUCCUCAUGGAUACUAGUCAGAUUGGUUUCCGCUGUGCCACAAUGGGAACUCCCAACUUCACUCUUUUUAAAUGUCCAUCUCCACACCAUCUUCAGACCUCUCAAACUGAAAUCUCCGCCUUGCCCUAAGGGUUUGUCUUAGCCAUCUCAAGUGAGUCUGCCACAAUGGCUCACAAUUGUUAAAUGUUUAUUAAGUGUUAGAGACUUAUCAAAAAACUGUACAUAGAUUACUUUAGCCAACCUUCACACAAGCCUAUGGAGGCAGGUACAAUUAUUACCAUAGUUCAUCAGUUCUCUGACAUGUUUAUUUCACAUUCUGAAAUAGAAAGGUGUCUUAAAAUGGAGAGUUGGCAGCAUUUUCAGAAACUAUUGGCACAUAAAAUGAUGGUGUAUAUAUUUACAAUCUGUGAAAUCUUAGAUUUGACAUCUUUGUCAGUUGCAGUAUCCCUAUGCAACUGACAAAGAUGCACAAGCUUAGAGAAGUUAAUUUAAGGCCAUGAGGCCAUAUAGUCUUAUUCCAAAGCUCAAUCUCUUAACUAUUACCCUGCAACUCAGGGCAAUGACCCUUCAUGCUUUUCUCCAUAAUUUCAUUUUCACGAUGGUAUUGUUUCAUUUUAAAAUUAAAUGAUUACUUCAUUUUGUGAUUUAAAAGUUAACACAUAGGCAUUGUAAGACUUUAAAAAGCAAAAAAAUGAGAAAGAGACACAAAUCACCUGGAAUCCUACUAAGAUAUUACUAUUGCCGACAUUCUGGUACAUUUCUUCCUGGCUCCCCCUCCCCCACUCCCCAUGUGCACAUUCGCACACAGUUGACCCUUGAACAACCUGGGGGUUAGUGGUGCUGACCCUUUGCGCAGUUGAAAAUCUGCAUAGAAAAUGUAGUCAGCCCUCUGCAUCUGCUUUUCCUCUUUAUCUAUGUUUCCACUUAUGGAUUUCAACCAACCAUGGAUUGUGCAGUACUGUAGUAUUUACUGUUGAAAAAUAUCAGUAGUAUUUGGACGUGACCCAGCACAGUUCAAACCCAUGUUGUUCCAGGGUCAACUGGAUAUUCACAGCACUGGUGGCAUACCACUGAUGUGGUUUUGCAUGCCUCUGUUUAGUACUUUAUGGUGAGCCUUUCUCCAUGUUUUUACAUGUUCUCUAAGUAUAAGACAUUGAAGAGCCCUCUCACUUACCAUUGUGGGUGGGAUUGUACUAUAAUCGGACAUUUAAGUUUUUUCCAAGUUUUCUUUAUGAGUACAAGUGAUGUGCUUACUGUCUCAGGGUUCCAAGAACUGUUUAUACUUCUUUUUUUUUUUUUUUUUUUUUUUUGGUCUUUCUGCCAUUUCUAGGGCCCCACCUGUGGCAUAUGGAGGUUCCCAGGCUAGGGGUCUAAUCGGAGCUGUAGCCACCUGCCUACACCAGAGCCGCAGCAACGUGGGAUCCAAGCCGAGUCUGGGACCUACAUCACAGCUCACGGCAAUGCCGGAUCCUUAACCCACUGAGCAAGGCCAGGGAUCGAACCUGCAACCUCAUGAUUCCUAGUCGGAUUCCUUAACCACUGAGCCAUAAUGGGAACUCCCGUUUAUACUUCUUUUUAAGUUAUCGUGGUCUCCUCAACUUAGCAGCAGAAUGAAAAGAGUCCCUAUCUCCUAUACAGAAGAAGAGCUGUGAGGGAGUUUCCAUUGCGGUGCAGCAGAAACCAAUCUGACUAGUAUCCAUGAGGAUGCGGGUUUGAUCCCUGGCCUUGCUCAGUGGGUUGGGGAUCUGGUGUUGCCAUGAGCUGUGUCAUGGAUCACAGAUGUGGCUUGGAUCCUGAGUUGCUGUGCUUGUGGUGUAGACUGGCAGCUGUAGCUCUAAUUUGACCUAUAGCCUGGGAACUUUCAUAUGCUGUGGGUGCAGCAAGAAAGAAAGAAAGAAAGAAAGAAAAGGAAGAAAGGAAGAAAGGAAGAAAGGAAGAAAGAAAGAAAGAAAGAAAGAAAGAAAGAAAACAACUGUGAGCAUGAAGUAUCUGAAAAAUCCAGAGCUGAGGCAGGAAAUAUUUCCCUAAAGAGACCACCCGUGGCUUCCUCUGGACCUGCUACUUGGUAUUAUUCAGCCUCUUUGGGAGUCGAUUUUAUCCACUAGAAAAGGCCCAGGUGGUCAAGACUAGGAAAUCUGAUCUAAACCUUUUUUUUCAGUCUAAUUUUCUUUUUACCUCUUCUUAGUACUGUCAACCAAGAGGGAAAAUCAGCAAGUAAUCAUUAUAGCAGAGCUUAGUCUUAAAAAAGGUCGCGGGGGACCACAGAAAGGGAAUUUUAAGAGGGCCUUAGGAAGACCAUACCUUCCUGACAGCUCAUCCAGUAAUCCCCAGAAAGAAAUUCUGUACAUAUUCCCACCUUCAGAAAAUAACUGCUGUCAACUGUGGUUGUUAUUUCUCUGCUACAGUCAUGUUUACGAUUGUGAUUAAAAUGUGUCUCGAAAAUUAAUGUCUUUGGGGAACUAAGGGACAUUUACUUAGUACCCCCAAAUAAGUUUUCAAUAACAUCUUUCAAUUUUCAUUUAAACCUAGAACUCUUCAAGUAAUCAUAACUUUUUUCCAAGUGAUGCUAAAGCACCCCACUAUCUCUCACUGUUCUGUCCUCAUCCGUACCAGCUACCUGUCAACUACAUAUGUGACACUUGGCGAGGUGCUCUCGGGACCACCAGGUGCAAAUACUGCUUUCCCGGAGCCUGUCAACUGUGGCAACGUUUGAGUCUAUUAGGGAUCAGGGUGGUAGAACGAGAAUGAUUGGGGUUUCUUAGUUCUGUGGGGGUAAGUCCAAUAGAGAAAAUCUAUUUGUAUAAAUAAUGCCUUCUAGAAUUCACAUUUCAGAAAUUCAGUGUGGAUUCAGUCCUAAUUCUUCCUCUUUGGUAUUAAAUAAUGAAUAUUUGUCUCGAUGGUAAUGGGUGCCCUUUUCAGGAUGGCUCUCAAAAUGUAGCUAAAGCCUAAUCCCUGUGCACAAAACAUUUACCUUUUAAUACAGGGAGAGAGAUUUCUUUAGACUCACCACAACCCAAGGUGUUAUCUGAAGAGCUCAAAUGAGAGAUCCCACAUUCAAAGGAAAACUGAUGAAGGGCUUAUUGGGGACUUGACUGAAAGCUGAUUAGGAAUUUAGCCCUAGAGUUGGGCAAAAGGACCAUUUUGAAAAAAGACUCCAAAGGGGAAAAUACUAGAGUGAAUUUGGGAACCUUUGUAGAUGGCUGAAAAAUAGGAAGUAUGUCCUGAUAUGUAAGACCAAUUUUCUAUUUAAUAUUUCAGUUUAAGUAAAUGUACAACCGAGGUGACAAUCCCUGUACAUUUCUUGCGAAAUGAGAUGGGUUAUAUGCAUACCUAAUUCAUGCCAUAGGACCAAAUAGAACUAAAGUUAUUUUUAAAAUCAUUCCUGGUAGCUUAAUUUAAAGGCAUGAUCAUUAUUUUUAUCUCUCAAGUUGGCAGGCUUUGGCUGACAAGAAGGAAAACUUUUUGGAACUAUGUAAUUUUUAGUUUUUUAUAUCACAGUUUUCCAAUAAUAUAAAAUUUGCCUUUCCCUACUUUGUGUAAGAAAAAUAGACACUGGCCCCUGUAGGCUAGUGGAGCACUGAACAACGCAUUUACUCUCAUUUUAUUAUUAUGCAAUCGCGUUUUCUUUACUCAUUAGCUGAUAAUGUUUUUAUCGGUCUAAGACACGCACAACUGUAUUACCUUCUCUGGAGACUUAAGCAAUUAGCAGGCAAACCUCAGGGAAGGGGUUGCUUGGCUUUACCCAGGAGAGCUAGUUGUUUGCACCAAACAGUUGCUCCCUUCAAAAAAAUUCUCCCCGUGAUGAUGUUUGGGUUGUUUUUGAAUUUGAAAUCUUUGCCUGGCAAAGAUGCUAUGAUUACAACAUGUUAUACCAUCAAACAAAUUUGUAUGAUUUCUAAAGCUCAUUUAGGCAUUGUAGUAAAGUGAUAUUAAAGUUUCACUUUUAGUUAUUGUGAUUUCCCUUUUCUUCAGUUGAUUUAAAAUUGCCUCUUUUAGAUACAGAAUAAAAUAUGUGCAAGUUUCUUGUGUGUGAUCAAAGAGGCAUUUUCAAGGUCUCUGUCUUGGUUGGAAAUGACGGGAGUUCCUGAGAGACAAAGAAUUCAACUUAAUUGCUUUUAUAUAGAUUAUUCUAAUAUUAUAAUGCUUAACUACCGUGAUUUGAUUUAACAUAGCUAUAAAUUUUACUUAUUUUGGUUUAUUUUUAGGGCCACACCUGCGACAUAUAGAAGUUCCCAGGCAAAGGGGUGAAUCAGAGCUACAGCUGCUGGCCUAUAUCACAGC